UACGUAGGGGGCAAGCGUUGUCCGGAUUUAUUGGGCGUAAAGAGCGUGUAGGCGGCCAGACAGGUCCGUUGUGAAAACUAGAGGCUUAACCUCUAGACGUCGAUGGAAACCGUCUGGCUAGAGUCCGGAAGAGGAGAAUGGAAUUCCUGGUGUAGCGGUGAAAUGCGUAGAUAUCAGGAGGAACACCGGUGGUGUAGACGGCUUUCUGGACCGUAACUGACGCUGAGACACGAAAGCGUGGGGAGCGAACAGG
rnacentral:rRNA from 1 species